AUUGAACGCUGGCGGCAGGCCUAACACAUGCAAGUCGAGCGGAUGAAGGGAGCUUGCUCCUGGAUUCAGCGGCGGACGGGUGGGUAAUGCCUAGGAAUCUGCCUGGUAGUGGGGGAUAACGUCCGGAAACGGGCGCUAAUACCGCAUACGUCCUGAGGGAGAAAGUGGGGGAUCUUCGGACCUCACGCUAUCAGAUGAGCCUAGGUCGGAUUAGCUAGUUGGUGGGGUAAAGGCCUACCAAGGCGACGAUCCGUAACUGGUCUGAGAGGAUGAUCAGCCACACUGGAACUGAGACACGGUCCAGACUCCUACGGGAGGCAGCAGUGGGGAAUAUUGGACAAUGGGCGAAAGCCUGAUCCAGCCAUGCCGCGUGUGUGAAGAAGGUCUUCGGAUUGUAAAGCACUUUAAGUUGGGAGGAAGGGCAGUAAGUUAAUACCUUGCUGUUUUGACGUUACCAACAGAAUAAGCACCGGCUAACUUCGUG
rnacentral:rRNA from 1 species